rnacentral:pre_miRNA from 1 species
UGAUGCUGAUGCUGCUGAUGCUGCUGCUGCUGCUGCUGCUGAUGCUGGGAGAGAGCAGCGACAGCGACAGCAGCAACACCGUUCUCCUUCCUA